rnacentral:rRNA from 1 species
ACGCACGCUGGCGGCGUGCUUAACACAUGCCAGUCGAACGGUGAAGCGCCUUCCUUUUUGGUGGGUGUGGAUGAGUGGCGAGCGGGUGAGUAACACGUGAGUAACCUGCCCCCUUCUUCUGGAUAACCGCAUGAAAGUGUGGCUAAUACGGGAUAUUCUGGGUCUGUCGCAUGAUGGGUCUGGGAAAGAUAUUGUUUCGGUGGGGGAUGGGCUCGCGGCCUAUCAGCUUGUUGGUGGGGUGAUGGCCUACCAAGGCGGUGACGGGUAGCCGGCCUGAGAGGGUGGACGGUCACACUGGGACUGAGACACGGCCCAGACUCCUACGGGAGGCAGCAGUGGGGAAUAGUGCACAAUGGGCGCAAGCCUGAUGCAGCGACGCCGCGUGAGGGAUGGAGGCCUUCGGGUUGUGAACCUCUUUCGCCAGUGAAGCAGGCCUGCCUCGUUUGUGGGUGGGUUGACGGUAGCUGGAUAAGAAGCGCCGGCUAACUACGUG